rnacentral:rRNA from 1 species
CCGCCAGAGGACUACAAGUGAAAAUCUUAAAACUUAAAGGACUUGACGGUGUCCCAUAUCGCCCUAGAGGAGCCUGUCCUAUAAUCGAUAAUCCCCGUUCCACCCAACCUCAACUAGUAAACAUAACAGCCUAUAUACCGCCGUCGACAGCCUACCCUAUGAAGGUCAAAUAGUAGACACAACAGCCCCCCGCUAGCACGUCAGGUCAAGGUGUAGCAAAUGUUGAGGAAGAGAUUGGCUACAUUUUUUAUUAUAAAAAAUACGAAAUGUUCUAUGAAAUAGAACAUGAAGGUGAAUUUAGUAGUAAAAU